CUUCAGAUAACUAUGUGGCUGGAUUGAGAUUGAAGUUUACGAGCAACGAAAAUUUGUCUGAGUCUCAGAUUAAAGAAUUGGUGAUUGAUAAAUUAAAACAGGAGCUGAUCAGACGAGGACUCCCCAACAACUUCACCAUGCGCUUGAGAAAUCGUGAAAUUAGUUCAUCAAUUAUUUCAUCAGUUAGUUUAUCAAGUUACAAGCCUGUGGUUUCAAUAAAAUAAUAGCAAAUGAAUUUGGCUUGUCUUUGAAGAAGAGCCUUAGUCCUGACUCCUGAGACUCCUGGGCUUGAGCUCCAAGCUUACUCCCUGGACAACGGAAUUGGAUAAAGUUAACUUAUUUUGGGUGGAUGAGGAAUGCUGGUUGAAUUGUCAAAGGGGAAAGGUCGGUGCUCGCUGGUCAGUGGGCAGUUGCUUAUAUAUACACUUAAAAAAAGACUUUUAUGUCAUUGUUUUAAAUUGUUGUAUACUGUAUGUGUUAUUCAUUUUUCAAUUUCAUUUAGCUUAAAGAACUGUUUUAAAGAUAAAACUAAACCACUUUAUUUUUGUGGUGUAUUUUCUGUAAUUCUCAUUAAAGACAUUUGAAUCAA